rnacentral:tRNA from 2 species
UGGGCUGUCGCCAAGCGGUAAGGCAACGGACUUUGACUCCGUCAUUCGUAGGUUCGAAUCCUGCCAGCCCAGCCA